ACGAACGCUGGCGGCGUGCCUAAUACAUGCAAGUCGAGCGGCGCCUUCGGGUGCAGCGGCGGACGGGUGAGUAACACGUAGGUAACCUGCCUGUAAGACUGGGAUAACCCUCGGAAACGAGAGCUAAGACCGGAUACGCUAUUAGGGAGGCAUCUCCCUGAUGGGAAAAGCGGAGCAAUCUGCUACUUACGGAUGGGCCUGCGGCGCAUUAGCUAGUAGGUGAGGUAGCGGCUCACCUAGGCGACGAUGCGUAGCCGACCUGAGAGGGUGAACGGCCACACUGGGACUGAGACACGGCCCAGACUCCUACGGGAGGCAGCAGUAGGGAAUCUUCGGCAAUGGACGAAAGUCUGACCGAGCAACGCCGCGUGAGUGAAGAAGGUUUUCGGAUCGUAAAACUCUGUUGCCAGGGAAGAAAGCGAUGGAGAGUAACUGCUCUGUGGUUGACGGUACCUGAGAAGAAAGCCCCGGCUAACUACGU
rnacentral:rRNA from 1 species